rnacentral:rRNA from 1 species
GAUGAACGCUGGCGGCGUGCCUAAUACAUGCAAGUCGAGCGAACGGACGAGAAGCUUGCUUCUCUGAUGUUAGCGGCGGACGGGUGAGUAACACGUGGAUAACCUACCUAUAAGACUGGGAUAACUUCGGGAAACCGGAGCUAAUACCGGAUAAUAUUUUGAACCGCAUGGUUCAAAAGUGAAAGACGGUCUUGCUGUCUCUUAUAGAUGGAUCCGCGCUGCAUUAGCUAGUUGGUAAGGUAACGGCUUACCAAGGCAACGAUGCAUAGCCGACCUGAGAGGGUGAUCGGCCACACUGGAACUGAGACACGGUCCAGACUCCUACGGGAGGCAGCAGUAGGGAAUCUUCCGCAAUGGGCGAAAGCCUGACGGAGCAACGCCGCGUGAGUGAUGAAGGUCUUAGGAUCGUAAAACUCUGUUAUUAGGGAAGAACAUAUGUGUAAGUAACUGUGCACAUCUUGACGGUACCUAAUCAGAAAGCCACGGCUAACUACGUG